GCGCUUGUAGCUCAGUGGUAGAGCGCUAUUCUUAUAAAGUAGAUGUCCUUGGUUCGAUCCCAAGCAAGCGCA
rnacentral:tRNA from 1 species